UUAUGAAUCAGCUCAGUAGUGGAGAAGAUGAUUUUAACAGCAAGGAGGCACUUCUUUUAGUCACAGUUCUGUCUACAUUAUCAAGAUUUCUGGACCCUACUUCUCAGCAGUUUGUGCAGAUGUUAUCCUGGACUGUCAAGAUUUGUAAAGAGAGCAAUUUUGAGGAUGUCCAGUUUUGUAAAGGAUUAAUGAAUUUACUCUUUAAUCUCCAUGCUCUUUUUAAGAGCCCAGUGAGCUUACUACGUGAACUUUCCCAGGAUAUCCAUGGGCAUUUGGGUGAUAUUGACCAGG